rnacentral:rRNA from 1 species
AUUGACCGCUGGCGGCAGGCCUAACACAUGCAAGUCGAGCGAGCGGCGGACGGGUGAGUAAUGUCUGGGAAACUGCCUGAUGGAGGGGGAUAACUACUGGAAACGGUAGCUAAUACCGCAUACCAUCAGAUGUGCCCAGAUGGGUUUAGCUAGUAGGUGGGGUAACGGCUCACCUAGGCGACGAUCCCUAGCUGGUCUGAGAGGAUGACCAGCCACCAUGGCACUGAGACACGGUCCAGACUCCUACGGGAGGCAGCCGUGGGGAAUAGGGCACAAUGGGCGCAAGCCUGAUGCAGCCAUGCCGCGUGUGUGAAGAAGGCCUUCGGGUUGUAAAGCAAUUUCAGCGGGGAGGCGUUACCCGCAGAAGAAGCACCGGCUAACUCCGUGCCAGCCGCCGCGGUAAUAC